GAAGAAUUCAGAGAUGGAUUUGUGCCUUCGGGAACCGUGAGACAGGUGCUGCAUGGCUGUCGUCAGCUCGUGUUGUGAAAUGUUGGGUUAAGUCCCGCAACGAGCGCAACCCUUAUCCUUUGUUGCCAGCGAUUCGGUCGGGAACUCAAAGGAGACUGCCAGUGAUAAACUGGAGGAAGGUGGGGAUGACGUCAAGUCAUCAUGGCCCUUACGACCAGGGCUACACACGUGCUACAAUGGCGCAUACAAAGAGAAGCGACCUCGCGAGAGCAAGCGGACCUCAUAAAGUGCGUCGUAGUCCGGAUUGGAGUCUGCAACUCGACUCCAUGAAGUCGGAAUCGCUAGUAAUCGUGGAUCAGAAUGCCACGGUGAAUACGUUCCCGGGCCUUGUACACACCGCCCGUCACACCAUGGGAGUGGGUUGCAAAAGAAGUAGGUAGCUUAACCUUCGGGAGGGCGCUUACCACUUUGUGAUUCAUGACUGGGGUGAAGUCGUAACAAGGUAACCGUAGGGGAACCUGCGGUUGGAUCACCUCCUUACCUGAAAGAA
rnacentral:rRNA from 1 species